AACGAACGCUGGCGGCAGGCUUAACACAUGCAAGUCGAACGCCCCGCAAGGGGAGUGGCAGACGGGUGAGUAACGCGUGGGAAUCUACCCAUCUCUGCGGAAUAGCUCCGGGAAACUGGAAUUAAUACCGCAUACGCCCUACGGGGGAAAGAUUUAUCGGGGAUGGAUGAGCCCGCGUUGGAUUAGCUAGUUGGUGGGGUAAAGGCCUACCAAGGCGACGAUCCAUAGCUGGUCUGAGAGGAUGAUCAGCCACAUUGGGACUGGGAAACGGCCCAGACUCCUACGGGAGGCAGCAGUGGGGAAUAUUGGACAAUGGGCGCAAGCCUGAUCCAGCCAUGCCGCGUGAGUGAUGAAGGCCUUAGGGUUGUAAAGCUCUUUCACCGAUGAAGAUAAUGGCGGUAGUCGGAGAAGAAGCCCCGGCUAACUUCGUGCCAGCAGCCGCCGUAAAAC
rnacentral:rRNA from 1 species